ACAUGAAGGGCCUGAAAGUCGAGUCCCGGGCGCAGCGCGGCACCACUCCACCUCUGGUCAGCGACUCGAUCCGCGUCGACCGUCAGUACAGCUCGGAGGUGGCCACCAGCAAGCGUAGCGUCGAGGUCAAGCAGGCGCUGGUGGCGGUCAAGGAGACGCGACCCGUCUAUCAGCUGAGGAUGGCGCCGGCCGUGCCGCAGUAUACGGCCGGCAACUGACCUGACUCCGUGAUCACGGCGAUACGACCCCGACACGCAGCGAGCCGGUGAUACCAGCGGCGCCGCUUGCCGGUCCGCACGCCGCCGCGCGCCGCUGGGCCGGCCGCCGCCGCCAAGGACCCCCUCAGCGACCCGUUCUUCACUGCGCCCGACCCGCUGGACGACGUGAACCUGCCCAUGGCGCCGGCCUACGAUGACGUGCGUGGCAUCAUCGACCGCGCGCGCAGGCGCCACCGCGACCUCCGG